rnacentral:rRNA from 1 species
UACCAGCACCCCGAGUGGUCGGGACGAUUAUUGGGCCUAAAGCAUCCGUAGCCGGUCAUGCAAGUCCUCCGUUAAAUCCACCUGCUUAACAGAUGGGCUGCGGAGGAUACUACAAGGCUAGGAGGCGGAAGAGGCAAGCGGUACUCAGUGGGUAGGGGUAAAAUCCUCUGAUCCAUUGAAGACCACCAGUGGCGAAGGCGGCUUGCCAAUACGCGCUCGACGGUGAGGGAUGAAAGCUGGGGAG